rnacentral:lncRNA from 1 species
AUGAAAAUGGAACAGGUCUACAGUGCUCCAGAAGUAAUAGAAUAUCAUUUCCUCAUAGGUACCACUGUAUUGGGUGCUUGCUAUUUGUGGAGCAAAAAGAAUGCUGAAGCAAGAAGGCAGCCUCGAAGGGGUGCUGUUCAGAGCCAAUUUACAAUUAUGAAGGAAGCCAGAUUGAAGAAAAUGCCAAAAAGUACAAAAGGGAAGGCCAAACUGAAAGAAUUUCAGAACAUCAGAGUCUGGGCCAUGAUGCACCCAGGCUUCAUGAUAUAUGAGAGAUGUUCACUGUGCCCUCAAGUGGAUUCUUCUCCACCAAUCCAAAAUUUUAUCCCAGGAGACACCAGCAAUCAUUUGCAGGAGAUAUUGAUCAACCAGAGAAUGCACAUUUCUGAACCAGAUCCCUGGUGAGGUUGAUGGGACAGUAGCAGGAAGCUUGUUUUGUGGAUUUGGAAAUGAAAACCCAAGAGGUGAGUGACUUGGGAACACUGAACAUGAUUUCCCCUCUCAGAGAUGAGACCAGGACUAAUGUCUGCCAGCCGAUU